AGUGGCGUGCGGGAAAUGUGGCGUGAGGAAGCCGUGGCCGACCGGGGACGUGGAGCCGACGUCCUUGUGAAGGAGGCUCUCAUCCCAUAGAGGGUGUUAGGCCCCCGCAGGCGCCCGUCGCCGGUGGCCUUAAGGCUUCUAAGAGUCGGGUUGUUUUGGAAUGCAGCCCAAAGACGGGUGGUAAACUCCAUCCAAGGCUAAAUACAAGGCACGAGACCGAUAGAUAACAAGUACCAUGAGGGAAAGUUGAAAAGAACUUUGAAGAGAGAGUUCAAUAGGACGUGAAGCUGCCGAGAAGUAAACGGAAAGGCCCCGCACACCGUGGCCGGGAGAUUCAGCGCAAGUGGAGGUUUUGCGGCGCCCCGCUCCGUCUGCGGAUUCCCCUCGGGAACCCUGGCAGAGUGGGUCGAUGCAGCCGCCCGUCGCGCGCAUUUCUCCCGUGCCUCUGGGGUUGGUGACCGAUCGUUGAUCGGCCGAUUGGACGCGGUGAAGGCAGGUAGCUCACCCAGGCUUCGGCCCGGGAGAGAACGUAUAGUCUCGCCGUCCGCAUCGGUCGCAAGGUCGAGGAAAGAUGCCCACGUUCUGCGCCUGCUCGGGUCUUCGGACCGGGGCUGGAGCCGCCGGACUCCCGCUCGUGCGGCGUACGGGGACUGUCCUCAGUGCCCGCUCGCUCGUGCGGUCGAGAAAGGCCGGAUCGCCUCUCAGGCGCACGGGGU
rnacentral:rRNA from 2 species